UCAAACGUGUGCUCUUCCGGUCUGAACCUUAAAAUCUGAUCUCACAGGGACAUGAAGCCAGUGAAGAAAUGAAAAAUGGGUGUAAUGUGGUCAAACUUUCUUCUUCCUGUCAAAGCUCUGGCAGCCGCAUUUUGAAC